rnacentral:lncRNA from 1 species
ACUGCGCAGAAACGUGCGCUGACGAAGAAUAUGGAAACCGAGCAAAAUAAUCGGCACUGCUUCAAAAUAACUUCUCAAGGGCCGUGAUCGGUCGCCUAUCGAUAUUAAGCUGUAUAAAGUACGAUGGACUCAAUGAAUACGCGCGAAUCUCGUAUGAGAAUAGCAAAGAAAAUUUUAAAAAUAAAUAAAGAACUUAAAGAAAGAAAUAAAGUAUCAGUGGAUGAGCAAAAAAGACAAUUACAUCUUGAUCGUAACUUCAUAACAAAACUUCAGAAUGACAAAAGAAGACUUCAGGCAGAGCUACGACAUAUGUGUUCUAAGAUUGUGAUGCUGGAUGACGAAAUCAUAGCAGCUCUAAGUCCCUAAUAAAAUUAUAAGGUGAAAAUCAUUUCUUGGAAGUAAAAUUAAUUCCUAACGAUAACUUGUUUGAAGAGACAGUUCAGUGGUUAUAUACACUUGUUAACUUUCCACAAUUGGCUCGAUUGGCGAAAUUUGAAUUCUCACUAUUAUUGGCGUUUUCGCUAUCUUAAAGACGUAUUGAGAUAUUGACUUCGACCAAAAUUUAUUUGAAUAAAAUUAUUACGAAGAAGUUUUAAGUACAUGAAUUCAGUAAGCUGUUUUCUUUAUAAACAAAAACUCAUAAAUAAAUGAGACGAUUAGACAUUUAAAAUACUAUAAAGCUGAACAAUAACAGUUUCAUUUGAGAAUUAAGUCGAUAUUGACUAGACUUUAUUGUUCACAACUAAAUAAGACUUUAAAGAAUGACAUAUUGUUUGAAAAAACAGGAAUUUUAGUAUUAAUUAUUAAGAAUCGUAGGGUUAUGUUUCUCUUCAAGGAACCAUUUUUCUAAAGCACUUAAAAAUGUUUUCUUUCAAUGGAAUGGUUUAACUGAAAGCCAUUCCUAAAGUAAACUUUCCCAUAUGUUGCUCCGAAUCGGUGUAACCUAAUUAUUGUAUUAAACUACAGAUGAUUUUCGUCCUUGGAGAAGGUUCUCGCUAGAUCAUAUUGAUUCUUCUACUUUUAGUCAUUCUUUUGUUCCUUUAGCUUCCUGUUGGAAGGGGUUAAAAUCCGUUCUUUUGUUCCAAACCUAAUCAGUUGUAUAUUAUCAUAUUUAUCUAGAUACUAUUUCCGUAAGAGAGGUAUUAGAUUUAGAACGUUAUUUCCUCUAGCUUAAGGGUGAUACAAAUUCAAAGUUAUAAUAAAUCUUUGGAGACUGCGCAGUACCAACAAACAGAAAAUCACCAGAAUGGAUCAAAUUUCUUCUUUUU